rnacentral:rRNA from 1 species
UACGUAGGGUGCAAGCGUUGUCCGGAAUUAUUGGGCGAAAAGAGCUCGUAGGCGGUCUGUCGCGUCGGCUGUGAAAACCCGGGGCUCAACCCCGGGCCUGCAGUCGAUACGGGCAGACUAGAGUGCGGUAGGGGAGACUGGAAUUCCUGGUGUAGCGGUGAAAUGCGCAGAUAUCAGGAGGAACACCGGUGGCGAAGGCGGGUCUCUGGGCCGUAACUGACGCUGAGGAGCGAAAGCGUGGGGAGCGAACAGG